rnacentral:rRNA from 1 species
UACCCGCAGCACAAGUGGUGUCAUUAUUAUUGGGCCUAAAGCGUCCGUAGCUGGCUUGUUAGAUGCCUGGGUAAAUCGAUGCGCUCAACGCAUCGAACUCCGGGUAGACCGGCAAGCUUGGGACCGGGAGAGGCGUGAGCUACUCGAGGGGUAGGGGUAAAAUCCUGUAAUCCUUCGGGGAGGACCAGUGGCGAAGGCGUCACGCUAGAACGGCUCCGACAGUGAGGGACGAAGCCCUGGGGCGCAAACCCGG